rnacentral:tRNA from 1 species
CGGCAGAGCACAUCCAUGGUAAGGAUGGGGUCGGGAGUUCGAUUCUCCCCUCUGGCU